rnacentral:rRNA from 1 species
CCUACGGGAGGUAGCAGUGGGGAAUUUUGGACAAUGGGCGAAAGCCUGAUCCAGCAAUGCCGCGUGUGGGAAGAAGGCCUUCGGGUUGUAAACCACUUUUGUACGGAACGAAACGGUUCGCUUUAAUACAGUGGGCUAAUGACGGUACCGUAAGAAUAAGCACCGGCUAACUACGUGCCAGCAGCCGCGGUAAUACGUAGGGUGCGAGCGUUAAUCGGAAUUACUGGGCGUAAAGCGUGCGCAGGCGGUCAUAUAAGACAGUUGUGAAAUCCCCGGGGCUCAACCUGGGAAUUGCAUCUGUGACUGUAUAGCUAGAGUACGGUAGAGGGGGAUGGAAUUCCGCGUGUAGCAGUGAAAUGCGUAGAUAUGCGGAGGAACACCGAUGGCGAAGGCAAUCCCCUGGACCUGUACUGACGCUCAUGCACGAAAGCGUGGGGAGCAAACAGGAUUAGAUACCCUGGUAGUCCACGCCCUAAACGAUGUCAACUGGUUGUUGGGUGCAUUAGUACUCAGUAACGAAGCUAACGCGUGAAGUUGACCGCCUGGGGAGUACGGCCGCAAGGUUGAAACUCAAAUGAAUUGACGGCUGGAGAGNGCGAGACGACGACGAGGGAGGAGG